AUAUUUUAAAGCAACAAUGCUUUCCUAAUAUCUUCAAUAUUAUGCUUUAAAAAUAAGCUAUUAAAAUA
rnacentral:tRNA from 1 species